AUGCGGAGGGUGCAAGCGUUAAUCGGAAUUACUGGGCGUAAAGCGCGCGUAGGCGGUUUAGUCAGUCAGAUGUGAAAGCCCCGGGCUCAACCUGGGAACUGCAUUUGAUACUGCUGAACUAGAGUAUGGUAGAGGGAAGUGGAAUUCCGGGUGUAGCGGUGAAAUGCGUAGAUAUCCGGAGGAACACCAGUGGCGAAGGCGACUUCCUGGACCAAUACUGACGCUGAGGUGCGAAAGCGUGGGUAGCAAACAGGAUUAGAAACCCUAGUAGUCC
rnacentral:rRNA from 1 species